UGUCAUCGUUUUAAAAAAAAUCGAACCAGGGACCUUUAGAUCUUCAGUCUAACGCUCUCCCAACUGAGCUAUUUUGGC